GUAUUUGUUUAAGGCCUUGCGGCACUAAUUCACGUUCGAUGUUUUACAAAAGGGGGUUUGUUAUAAAAAAGGAGAGAGGGAAAACCCAGAAUAAACCGGAUAACCAAACUCCCAGAGGGUGCACAGGUGUAUGAAUUAAGAUAUUGUCGGGAGCAAGCACAUGUAGAGAAAACUCUACCAGCAUCAACUCCCUUUACAAUUCGUUAAUGAUCCUUCCGCAGGUUCACCUACGGAAA
rnacentral:misc_RNA from 1 species